rnacentral:tRNA from 1 species
GCAGCUGUGGCCGAGUGGUUAAGGCGAUGGACUUGAAAUCCGUUGGGGUCUCCCCGCGUAGGGUCGAAUCCUACCGGCUGCG